UCUUUAAAGGACAGACAUAAUAAUGUGGUUCUCCUGACAGAAGAGCUUCCUCCAUCUAAGGAUUAGAUGGGGUUCUCCUGAGAGCUGAAGGGAAAGGACUAAUGAAGAUCUUCUGGACUCAGAACACUGCUGAAUCAUGCUUCAUAUAUUUAAUACUGAGAAUAAAGAUCAUCAAUUCUUCUGAACAUUAAAACUGCUGACAACUA